rnacentral:lncRNA from 7 species
GCUCCCAUUUUCUUCUCAGCCUCUCUAACAGGGAGCCCUUGGACUGCAAACUUGGUUUGAGCAGGGCUGUUAUUUACACGUUCUGCUUUUGUAGGUAGCUUUAUGUUUUUAAUUACACCUCAGAGCAUCUGAAUUGUUCUGCUAUUCCUAAGAGUUUCCUUGAGUGCUAAUUAGAUUGAAACCUUUGGUGCAAUCAAUAGAUUCUCAUCUCGGUACUGACCAAGCCAGUCCCAAACAGUAAUUUACAGCUCUGGUUGUUAUGAAAUCAAUACAGAUUUGCUUUUCAUUGAGAGGACUGUAAAGCAUGGGUGACAGCCGGCGUGGUAAGCAGCUGGUGUGGAAAUGGAUCCCUUGCUGGUGUUGGAGAGUGGCCAGAGAGCUUCAGAGAGGAGAAGCUUUGGGAGCAGAGCACGCCUCUUCCACCUGCUGGGCUGAGGAUGCUGAUGGAGCGCUGGGCUCCUGCCCUUCUACUGAGCAGGAGGUGAUACCUUGCCCUGAGUGCAAGGCUUGCAUGCAAAUGGGAUGGAGCAAAAGGGCUGAAUCAUCCCCAAAAUGUAUGCUGGGGCCCUCAGCCCUGGCCAUGGCCCCAGGACUGGGGGCACAUCAGUGAGAGCAGCAGCAUCCUUUCUCCAGAGUGCCCUCACCACCUUCCAUCCCAGGAGCCAGCACUCCUCAAGUGGAGACCCAGGCUGAGGCUGCAUCUUGGCCAUCAUCUUGACCAUCAAUCGAUGGUUACCUUGGCCAUCAACUUGGCGACCAUUUUGGCCAUCGUCUUGUCCAUCAUAAUGACCCAAAGCUGCAGUGGUGACCCUGCUGCCUGCUUUCCAUCACUGCUGUCUCCUCAUUCCAAUUGCUGCUUCUGAUGGGGUGCAGAUGCCCUCAGCUUGCUACUUGCCUCCCCACCAAGCUGGAGCUUCCUCACGAGGCUGCAGGAAGCGUGACGGCGCUGCAAGGAAUUCAAAUCACUUUGCUGUGCAAAUCAACAGCCAGCAGAAGUAAGGCUGGGGGAGAAGUAUUCCCAUUUAUGUACAGAAAUUGUGCUAACCAAGCAGGUUUUGACAAGGAGCUAUGAACAUGCAGAGGGAAGAGAAAUGCCGACGGCAUUAAUGUUUGUGUCUUCUUGCAACUUUUAUGUCUGACUCAGAAUUAACUUUUGAGCUGGAAAAGCACUAACUUCUGAUAAUUAAGCCCAAAAUACAUUGGUCUCAACGUUAGGUGUCACCCACACACAUAUGUUCAGUCCCCAGCCCUAUUAUUUUAAAUUGAUGCAAUUAUUCAUCUUGCAGAGUAAUAUAUUUCUUGUUCUCUGGUGCCCAGUAGAGCUUAAAGCAGAACAAAUGCUUUAAUAAAAUCGAGGUGGUGCUUCCU